GACGAACGCUGGCGGCGUGCUUAACACAUGCAAGUCGAACGGAAAGGCCCUGCUUUUGUGGGGUGCUCGAGUGGCGAACGGGUGAGUAACACGUGAGUACCUGGCCCUGGCUUUUGGGUAACCUCCGGGAAAUGGGGCUAAUUACGGGUAAGGAGUCCCUCCUCCUGGUGGGGGGUUGGAAAUUUUCGGCGGUUGGGGAUGGACUCGCGGCUUAUCAGCUUGUUGGUGGGGUAGUGGCUUACCAAGGCUUUGACGGGUAGCCGGCCUGAGAGGGUGACCGGCCACAUUGGGACUGAGAUACGGCCCAGACUCCUACGGGAGGCAGCAGUGGGGAAUAUUGCACAAUGGGCGGAAGCCUGAUGCAGCAACGCCGCGUGCGGGAUGACGGCCUUCGGGUUGUAAACCGCUUUCGCCUGUGACGAAGCGUGAGUGACGGUAAUGGGUAAAGAAGCACCGGCUAACUACGUG
rnacentral:rRNA from 1 species